rnacentral:miRNA from 1 species
CAUACCAUUUGCAAAAGCAGACAACCCAAGGUAUUGCAAGUGGGGUAUGUCCAGUCUUUCUUAGUAGCCACUUAGUCACAAACACUGCCCAAAUAUUUUUUUUUUCUUUUUUCACACAAAAACAAAUAUGAAUGCUAACUUUGGCCAGUGUUUGUGACUAAGUGGCUACUAAAGAAAGACUAAACAUACCCCACUUUCAAUACCUUGGGUUGUCUACUUUUUCAAAUGGUAUG